UACGUAGGGUGCGAGCGUUAAUCGGAAUUACUGGGCGUAAAGGGCGCGUAGGCGGCCUGCUAAGUCGAACGUGAAAUCCCUGGGCUCAACCCAGGAACUGCGUCCGAUACUGGCAGGCUUGAAUCCGGGAGAGGGAUGUGGAAUUCCAGGUGUAGCGGUGAAAUGCGUAGAUAUCUGGAGGAACACCGGUGGCGAAGGCGGCAUCCUGGACCGGUAUUGACGCUGAUGCGCGAAAGCCAGGGGAGCAAACGGG
rnacentral:rRNA from 1 species